UACAGAGGGUGCAAGCGUUAAUCGGAAUUACUGGGCGUAAAGGGUGUGUAGGUGGCAAAGUAAGUUAGGUGUGAAAUCCUCGGGCUUAACCUGAGAAUUGCGCUUAAUACUGCUUAGCUAGAGUACUGCAGAGGGUAGUGGAAUUUCCAGUGUAGCGGUGAAAUGCGUAGAUAUUGGAAGGAACACCAGUGGCGAAGGCGACUACCUGGAUAGAUACUGACACUGAGACACGAAAGCGUGGGUAGCAAACAGG
rnacentral:rRNA from 1 species